AACGGGGCGUAGUUUAGGCUUAACUGCGUUGGGAAAAAGAAAGACGCAAGCUCACCUGCUUGAAGACCUGAAACCCGGAAAUUAGUUACCAUUCAUAUGGCGAAAAUGAAUGAGGAAAGAAUAGGCUUUUGGGAUAAACGCGGAAAUAAGGUCUGAGGUUAAUACAGGCUUAGGAUAUCUUAUACGUUUUGUUCUACGAGAUAAUAUUAGUCAGUUAACAUUACCUUUAUUAAUUAUGAAGCAUUUAUGUGCUUUUUCAAAUUACACAAACGCUUCCAAAUUCACAAAAAAUACAUUAGUAAAAAAACAACAGAAAGAAGCACGAGAGUUUCGCAAGAAUUGUCUGCUUUUUCUUGAAUAAGUCUGUUUUUAUGUAAUAUUGUUUCAUUGAACACUAUAUCCCAGAAAGCCUUGCGCCAAGGCAAAGCAGGAAGAUAUUUUUUCGUCUGCAACUUCGGGAAUUUAGCCAGAAGGAGUGUGUUGCUCAGGUCCUGGGGAGAGUGGUGAGUGUCAGUGUGUGUUACAGAAACACCAGCAGUGAGUGUAUGUCUGUCUGUAAUCUGCUUCCGCCGGCUGUUUGUGGCAUCGGCUGUGAAGUGAACAGGAAGACAGAGGG